ACUAACGUAAAAGUAAAUGGAUAAAAUAAUUUCAGGUAUCAAAAAUAAUAAUUUGUAUGUUAAGGCAUAAUUUUGUAUAUACACAAACUAUAAAAUAACAACAACAGUUAUGAUUAUGUUUUAAUUACAGAUAUUUAACUGUUCCAAUAUUUUACAUGAUGUAGUACCAUAAGUUCCGGACCUUUAAUUGUACCUCAUAUAAGCAAAUGAUUAAUAGCAACUGAAUCAUAUGAAGAAUCUUAAAAGUCAAAUGCUUAGAAAGGAAAUGUGAAGAUGAUAACCAAAGUAUGACAUAAGCAGAAGCAAUCAUGAAUUUCGAAAUUGGUAUAAAGGAGAGGUUAACAUCAGAGAAGACUUAAAGCAAAGUUUACAGAAACGCUGGGUUGUAUUAAGUGUUCAGCAAAGAUUAAGAGACCAGUUCACUCAAGAAUGGUCAUCAGAAAUGAACAAUUCGCCAAAGGGUUUAUGUUAUAGAUUGUAUAAAAAUGUAUUUAAAUUUGAACACUAUUUGUCAGUGCUACCAUUCAAUUUAUUAAUAACCUUAUGUAAAUUUAGAUGUGGAAAUCACCGUUUGCCAAUUGAGACGGGAAGGUGGCACAACAUACCAAGAUCUGAUAGAGUGUGUCACCUUUGCGACUCAGUUGACAUCGGUGACGAAUACCAUUAUAUUAUGUCUUGUAAUUUUUUCAAAGACGAUAGAAACAAAUAUUUACCGCAAUACUGUAAAUCUAAUGUAAAUGUUAUAAAAUUUUAACAAGUAUACUCAAAUCGAAACUGUGUUGAUCUUGAGAAACUCUGUAGAUUUAUUAAAUGUAUUUCUGUGAAAGUCUAUCCUCCUGGUUAAAACAACUAUUGUAUAUUAAUUUAUCUUUUGUCCAAAUAUAUAUUUAUAAUAUUAAUUAACAAUAUUCUGUAUUUCACACAUGCUAUAUUCAAUAUUUGUUAUUAUUGUAAUAUUUCUUCUCUGUAACUAUGUAUUUGGUUUAUGAGAAUAAAGAU